UACGGAGGGUGCAAGCGUUAAUCGGAAUUACUGGGCGUAAAGCGUGCGCAGGCGGUUUGUUAAGUCCGUUGUGAAAGCCCCGAGCUCAACUUGGGAAUUGCAGUGGAUACUGGCAGGCUGGAGUACGGUAGAGGAAGGUGGAAUUCCCGGUGUAGCAGUGAAAUGCGUAGAGAUCGGGAGGAACACCAGUGGCGAAGGCGGCUCUCUGGAACGCAACUGACGCUGAGACGCGAAAGCGUGGGGAGCAAACAGG
rnacentral:rRNA from 1 species